rnacentral:rRNA from 1 species
CCUACGGGUGGCAGCAGUGGGGAAUAUUGCACAAUGGGGGGAAACCCUGAUGCAGCGACGCCGCGUGAAGGAAGACGUAUUUCGGUAUGUAAACUUCUAUUAGCAGGGAAGAAAGUGACGGUACCUGACUAAGAAGCCCCGGCUAACUACGUGCCAGCCGCCGCGGUAAUACGUAGGGGGCAAGCUGUAUCCGGAUUUACUGGGUGGAAAGGGAGCGUAGGCGGCGAUGCACGUCAGAAGUGAAAGCCCGGGGCUCAACUCCGGGACUGCUUGUGAAACUGUAUGGUUAGAUUGCAGGAGAGGCAAGUGGAAUGUCUAGUGUAGCGGUGAAAUGCGGAGAUAUUAGGAGGAACACCAGUGGCGAAGGCGGCUUGCUGGACUGUAAAUGACGCUGAGGCUCGAAAGCGUGGGGAGCAAACAGGAUUAGAUACCCCUGUAGUC